ACGUGAAACCGUUUAGGGGUAAACCUGAGAAACCCGAAAGGUCGAAGGGAGAAAUUCAUUCGCGUUUCGCUUUAGGCGUCUGACGUUCGAGCGACGGAAAUCGUUCGCGAUUUGCGCGCCCUACGUCUUUCGAUCCUUCGGCGAACGCGUGCACUUUUCUCCUGGUAGGACGUCGCGAUCCGUUGGGCGUCGGUCUACGACUCGCGGUGGAGCCCGAUCGUACGGCUUGCCGUUACGAGCGGACCCGCUUGUUCCGGCCGACUCGCUCGACGGUAUACGAAAGGUUUGAGGCCGCUCUCGGAGCGUUCGGCUCGUCGCAAGCGCGUCAGAUGCGUCGGCGAUCGGACCUGGUGCCGGUUCUGACCUCUGGCGACUGUUGGCGACGAAGUUCUCGAACAGACUUCUAACCGAUCUGCGACGCUAUAGCUUUGGGUACUUUCAGGACCCGUCUUGAAACACGGACCAAGGAGUCUAGCAUGUGCGCGAGUCAUUGGGAAUAACUAAACCUAAAGGCGCAAUGAAAGUAAAGAUCCGCCUCGCGCGGAUCGAGGGAAGACGAGCGGUUUGCCGUU
rnacentral:rRNA from 1 species